UGUAAGGACACCUAGAAAGCAACAUCUACGAGGAAUGAGCUCUAACCAGACACCAAAUCUGCUGGGAGCUUUAUCUUGAACUUCCCGGCUCCACAACAUCUUGGCAGCUCUUUGGGGGAUAGAAGAAGACCAUGAAGCUCUAAGUGCUUCAGAGGAAUGGGGUUGCCAAAACAGAUGUGAGAGGCCCAGAGAGGAGGCUGGGCCAGUGCUGAAGUUUCUGUGGGUCAGGAAUCAAGGAAAAGAUUUGUUGGAUGCCUCUGCCUUAAUGUCUCUUCAAGGCUGUAGUCAAGGUGUUGGCUGGGGCUGCAGUUUCAUCUGAAGACUCAACUGGGAAAGGAUCUGUUGUCAAGCACAUUUGUAUGGUUAAUUGUAAAUUUGUGAAAUAGCACAAAGCCAAGUUGAAGACAAUAUCUUCCCUAACAACAGUAGUGCAAUGACAGCCAGCCAGAAAAGUUCUCCACCUUGGCAGCAAUGAGACUAAGACUUUUAUGCCUGAAUUGCUAUCUUUUUUUCCCAGGAUUUGAAAUGCAGCGCCUGGCACAGUAUCUGGAACAGAAUAUGCCUUCAAUAAAUAUGAGUGAUGCUGCUGAUGUGUUAAAAAAAUAUUUUUAGAUAGGGUCUUGCUCUGUUGCCCAGGCUGGAGUGCAGUGGCAUAAUCGUGACUCACUGCAACCUAGAACUCCUGGGUUCAAGUGAUCCUCUUGCCUCAGCCUCCUGAGUAGCUGAGACUAUAGGCUCAUGCCACCAUACCAGGCUUUUUGUUUGUUUGUUGGUUUUCUUAAUUUUUAGGAGAGACAAGGUCUUGCUCUGUUGCCCAUGCUAGUCUAGAACUACUGGGCUUAAAUGAUCUUUCUGCCUUGGCCUCCCAAAGUGCUGGGAUUACAAGCGUGAGCCACUGUGCUGGACCCUGAUGUGUUUCAAAACUUUGUGCAUAGGAUCUAAAAACCUAUGAGUUAUUCUAGAGUUCUUCCUCCUUUUUCAUUGCUUAGUUCCAGCCUGACACUAGAUUCUAUUUCCCUAAUUGUGCUCCUGCCUGUGUUUACCUCUUUAGUUCCAUUGUUACUGCAUUUAUUAAGACCUCUAUCAUCUUUCCUAUGGAAUGUUGCAAAAUUCUUCCACUUAGUUCUCCUGACUUUCAGGUUCACUCUUAUCUGUUUGAUUCUGAACCAACCCCAAACAUAAACCUGUUCAUCUAACUUCUUGAUUAACAUCCAUGAAAAUUCCCCAUUGCUAAGACAAAGUGCCAACCUCUUAGAAUGGCACUCAGGAUGCCUCAUGCUUGCUUCCAGUCCCAAGUUCUGUGCUAAACUCACAGAGCACUAUUAUCAGAGAACCGAUUAUAGUUUUUUUUAACUAAUUAUGCAGUGUCUUUCUCCCUGGAACAUCCCUCCUCCCAAACUCUUAAGAAUCUUUCAAGGCUCUGCUCAAAUGUCUCCUAUUUUAUGAAGCCUUCUCCUUCCCUGACUCGCUCAGGCAGAGUUCUCAUUAUAACUGCCUAUUAACUUCACACAUAAAUCAAUUACAGUCAUUAUAACAUGAAGUUAUGUCUUUUUCUUCUUUACAUAUUGGUUUUCCAAACACACUUGUGAGCUCCCUGAAGGCAGGCACAUAGCUUAUUUAUUUCUGGCUUUUUACCGUCUAGUAUUAUGCUUGGAAUUGGGUGGCUUUUCAAUAAAUGCAUGUAAAAUUAAAGGCAGACCUGGUUUGGUACAGUGGCUCACAUCUGUAAUUCCAGCGCUUUGCGAGGCUAAGGCAAGAGGAUCACUUGAGGCCAGGAGUUCAAGGCCAGCCUGGGCAAGAUAGUGAGGCCCCACUCUCUACAAACAAUUUUUAAAAAUUAGCUAGACAUGGUGGAGUGCACCUGUAGUUCUAGCUCCUCAGGAGUUUAAAGUGGUGGGAUAAGUUGAGUCCAGGAGUAUGAGGCUGCAAUGACCUAUUACCACACCACUGAACUCCAAGACCCUGUCUCUGAAAAAAAAAUUAAAGGUAGAUCAACUGAUACUCUUGGAAUUCAUAAUAUUCCAAAUAAGAUAAAAAAUUCACUCAGUAAACAUCCUACUCAAGAAAUCUAAGAAGAUUAUGUAACUUUCCCAUCAAUUUCUCUUAUACUGGGGGAAAGGCCUAUUUUAGACUAUAACAAAGCACUAAAAUGAAGCAAGUUUGUCCCAUUCUUUAAGUAGUGGGACAAGAAAGAACAGAAAAGUAUUUCAUUUAGUUUUUAAAUAUUUUUUUAAAAAUUUUAAAAUUUUUCUUAUUUUUUUAUUUUUUAUUUUUAUUUUUUGAGACGGAGUCUCAUUCUGUAGGCCAGGCUGGAGUAGAGUGGCACAAUCUCGACUCACUGCAACCUCCGCCUCCCAGUUCCAAGCUAUUCUCCUGCCUCAGCCUACCGAGUAGCUGGGAUUAAAGGCGCCCACCACCAUGCCUGGCUAAUUUUUGUAUUUUUAGUAGAGACAGGCUUUCACCAUGUUGGCCAGGCUGGUCUUGAACUCCUGACCUCAGGUAAACCACCUGCCUCGGGCUCCCAAAGUGCUUGGAUUAUAGGUGUGAGCCACCACGCCCAGCCAUUUCUUUAGUUUUUUACAUGCUGAUUAAAAUACCAUUGAAGUAAGAUUUGUUAUAGAUAAGCUGAAAUACAACAGACUUGAUUGACUCUAAGUUAAAAGGGAGUUUAAAGAAGGACUCAUUUCCCCCUUUUUAAACUUUGUGUUUCUGUAUGAAGGACAAGAACACCAACAGGGAGGGAUUCAGGGAAGUUUAUGAUUGAGAAUUACUAUGGGGUUGCCUCAAGCUUUUCCCUCUACUAUAAAAUACUUACAGAGUAAAGAGGGAGUACGUGAAAAAAGAUACCAGCAUUUGCAUUAAAGAUCUCUAUAAAAAAAAAAGUAAUCAUUUAAAAGAGUAAGUUUUAGUGGAAACUGCUAUUUCUAUCCAUUCUGGCUUUCUGCUCAUCAAGCUGUGUUUUUGUGUGUGUCUGUCUGUAUAUGUGAAGAACUCUCAAAUUACUGUUAUUUUCCUUCAUUUCGUUUUGUUUUUCCUUCAAGUUUUGAAUAUUUUACAGCAAUAACAGAAAACAGAAUUGUUCAGAGUCCAACAUUCCUCAUUAGUCAUUCACCACAACUUGUAAUAAGAUGGAUAAAGAUAAUGGGAAGCAGAGAUCAAUCACUACGCUGUUAUACUGUGUGUGAAAUAAUUUGUGAUACAGAUGCAACCCAGUAAUGCUGGGGCCUGCCUGGGAUGUUUUAGAACACAUACAGAAGUAAUCGUCCAGAGAUGAAAUCCUGUGACAGAAAGGACAGUUUUGGAUUACAACUGAUAAACCCCCACCAAUACAUGGCUCAAAUCAGCCAACAAGUAAUGAGUGUUGCUAUGGACCAGUGAGACAGGGAAAGGCCUGCUUGUCUGUCUUAGGUGCGAAAAUUAUAAUAUGAAAAGCUUAUUCAUUCUCUAAUUGAAUCUGAAUCAACAAUGAUUAUAAACAUCUGUAUGCAGAAAAUUAAAGUCAGAAAUCUAUACCUUAUGUUUUUAUACUAGGCUAAAUACAAAAAACAUAUUUAUCUGCAAUUUCUCCAAAUCUCUUCAUAGUAUCUUUACCCUAAAACUCCCACCACUCCCCACACAUCUUCUGAUCUUCAUUUUCUUCCAUUGCAGGAAUUCCACCCUAACCAUCCUCCUGCUUCAAUAUGGGGAAGAUUUACAUGAGUAUAAAAUGGGAAUAAAGCAGGCAAAGCCAGGGUGGAAUUUAGGAAAGCUUACAAUUUGAUAAGGAGUAGCCCAGGUAAGGCCUGAAAGGUGAAUUGUGGUAUGAUUGCGAAGGUUCUGGCUGGAGGGCUGGACUUCAUACCUCUGGAAUAAGAGGCAUGUGUUAGAUAGAUUAUACCAACAAUAGUAUUUAGGGCUAAUUGACUAGAACAGAAACUGGAGACUUGAGAGUAGUUAUGAAAAAAAUCAAAAUACAUUAAUAUACACGACAUUAUAAGAACUUGGCUUUUGGCAGUGAAAGUGGAAGUGGAUCAGAAAAGAAGGAAUGAAAAAAGAAAAAAGAGAUCCUAUGCUAGAAACAUGUAAUUUUCCCCCUCAAUCUCAUAAAUCUCAAAUGCAGCAUGUUCACCCCAUAAAAUGCUAGGUAUCUGCUUGUGUUAGUCCCAUACACUUAAACUAUUCUCUCAAUGACGUUAUCAUGACAGUUCAGUGGUCAUCAGCUAAGGACAAUAAAAUUUACUUAAGAAGACUAAUGCUGCAAACAUCGUUCUUGUUAGAGAAACCUCCCUACCUCCACUCUGACCCACAUGAACAGGAAGCAUGGACCAGGCCAUUAAUGAACUAACAUUUUGUCACAACAUCUAGAUAACAUGAACGUUGGAUUUAUCCAAUGUUAGGUGGCUACCAUGAAUCAGAGGCUGCAGGGAGGCACCCAGGCGGCAUUAGAUUGGGGCAACAGCAGAAAUAGCAAACUAGGGCCAUAUUGUUCUGGAAGCAUUCCUACCAAAAUUCUUCAGAUAGUAAAUGGAAUGGAGAAACCAAAUGUUAGAAAAAAUUAGAAAGAAAUCAAAAUAGGGAGAGAAUACCAUAAUGAUCCUUUAUGAUUAAGGAAAUAUUACUAUGAGUUGUAUUUACUUUGUGUAAACUGAACUGUGAUGACAUUAUAUAGUACUGUAGAAUAGAAACAAAGUUUAAGGAGCUCUCAAGGUCAUUCGGUCCAACUUCUCACUUUUACAGAAAUGUUGUGUAUAGAAUCUCUAAUAUGUGACUAGCUGGCAUCAGCCUCAAUCAUCUCAAUCAUAGCAAUUUUUUCUGCCAGUGAAAACUAUGAAGGCAUUUCAUUUGGAGUAUCUUAAUUCUGAAGGUACCUUCAACUACAUCCCUUUCACCUUUACUCAUUCAUAGUUCUGUUUACAGGAGGCAACUCUCUAUUCUAUUUCCUUAUGACAAUUUCAAAUAUUUACAAUUUUGUGUGUUUUUCUCCUGUUGUCAUUAAGAUAAAAUCCAAACUCCAGACUGGCAAAAGCCUCUUAAAAUGUGAUACUUAGACUCAAACACAGUAUCCCAGAAAUCAUCUAAUCAAUAAAAGAAUGAACAAAUAAACUUCCAUGUUUGGGAAAUUUAUAUUUCUUUUAAGACAGCCUAGUGUGCCUUACCCACUUCAUUAGACACUUCAUUCAUCCAUUCAAUAAAUAUUUACUUGAUGCACACCAUAUUCCAUGCACUGUUUUAUAUGCUG